rnacentral:rRNA from 1 species
GACGAACGCUGGCGGCGUGCUUAACACAUGCAAGUCGAACGGAAAGGCCCUGCUUGCAGGGUGCUCGAGUGGCGAACGGGUGAGUAACACGUGGGUGAUCUGCCCCUUACUUUGGGAUAAGCCUGGGAAACUGGGUCUAAUACUGGAUAGGACCAUGCUGUAGGUGGUGUGGUGGAAAGAUUAGUUUCGGUAAGGGAUGAGCUCGCGGCCUAUCAGCUUGUUGGUGGGGGAAUGGCCUACCAAGGCGUCGACGGGUAGCCGGCCUGAGAGGGUGGACGGCCACAGUGGUAAGGACAGACGGCGCAGACGCCUAAUGGAGGCAGAAGGGGGGAAUGUUGCACAAUGGCGGGACGCCUGAUGCAGCAACGCCGCGUGCGGGAGGAGGGCCUUCGGGUGGUAAACCGGUUGCGCCGGUGACGAAGCGGGAGUGACGGUAAUGGGUAAAGAAGAACCGGCUAACUACGUG